rnacentral:rRNA from 1 species
GACGAACGCUGGCGGCGUGCUUAACACAUGCAAGUCGAACGAAGAGCGACGGAAGCUUGCUUCUAUCAAUCUUAGUGGCGAACGGGUGAGUAACGCGUAAUCAACCUGCCCUCAGAGGGGGACAACAGUUGGAAACGACUGCUAAUACCGCAUACGAUCUAAUCUCGGCAUCGAGGAUGGAUGAAAGGUGGCCUCUACAUGUAAGCUAUCACUGAAGGAGGGGAUUGCGUCUGAUUAGCUAGUUGGAGGGGUAACGGCCCACCAAGGCGAUGAUCAGUAGCCGGUCUGAGAGGAUGAACGGCCACAUUGGGACUGAGACACGGCCCAGACUCCUACGGGAGGCAGCAGUGGGGAAUCUUCCGCAAUGGACGAAAGUCUGACGGAGCAACGCCGCGUGAGUGAUGACGGCCUUCGGGUUGUAAAGCUCUGUUAAUCGGGACGAAAGGCCUUCUUGCGAAUAGUGAGAAGGAUUGACGGUACCGGAAUAGAAAGCCACGGCUAACUACGUG